GCCUUUUUGAAAUUUAUUAAAGGUCUAACCUGCCCACUGAGAUUUAAAUGGCCGCAGUACUUUGACUGUGCAAAGGUAGCAUAAUAAUUAGUCUUUUAAUUGAAGGCUGGAAUGAACGGUUGGACGAGGUAUAAGCUGUUUCAUAAAAAAUUGUAAUAGAAUUUUAUUUUUCAGUCAAAAAGCUGAAAUAAUUUUAAAAGACGAGAAGACCCUAUAAAUCUUUACAUUUUCCUUAAUUUUUUAAAUAAGAAAAGUUUUAAUAAAUUAUUAUAAAAUGUUUUAUUGGGGUGAUAUUAAAAUUUAAUAAACUUUUAAAUUUUUAAACAUUGAUUUAUGAGAAAAUGAUCCACUUUAGUGAUUAUUAAACUAAGUUACUUUAGGGAUAACAGCGUAAUUUUUUUGGAGAGUUCAUAUCGAUAAAAAAGAUUGCGACCUCGAUGUUGGAUUAAGGAAUACAGUUAGGUGCAGUCGCUUAAAUGGUAAGUCUGUUCGACUUUUUAACCCUU
rnacentral:rRNA from 1 species